CCAAUUAUUAUUAUUCUUAGUUAGUAAUCCCUCGAUCCCUAAAUAUUUAGCGUCGUUAACUUUUUUUAUACAUGUUUGAUUAUUUAUUUUAUUUAAUUUUUUUUGUUAAAUAUGUAAAGUUAUAUAUAUAUAUAUACAUAAAUGUAUAUUUAACCAUAAAUAAAAUAAUAUAAAAAUAAUUAAUAAUUAUAUAUUUUUUGAAUAAAACGAAUAGUCAAACGUAUAUAAAAAAGUCAACAGCGUCAAACAUG
rnacentral:lncRNA from 1 species